rnacentral:lncRNA from 1 species
UAGUGGGGAAAAAGAUGACAGAUCCUAAAUGGCUGACAAUUUAGUGGCAUUAUUCUUUGACAAACUCAAGGUAGCAGUACUAUUUUUAGCAAGUUCAUAUGCAAAAUCAUUACAAUAGGUACCCUCGACAUAGGUUGUAGGGAAAGUGCAUAUGUGAAAUCAUUACUGUACCUCCUUUUUUUGUUCAUACAUUCAUAUAUGGCAAUGUCCUUGCUGUUAGUUAACUAUGCCUAAAGAAAAGUGCCUAAGAUAUGAAUCAGAUUACCUGAAUUAGUAGCUGGAAGAACUCUGCCAUGUACUAUACAGCCUAAUGUACCAGGUUGACACCUAAGAAAUGGAUAUUUAGUGUCCAUAUUUCCCUAUCACAGUAUAAGAUAAUAUUAAAUCAAAUCAAAGGUCCCUGUGCGUUGCAACGGGAUGAAAAAAAUAGAAACAUGGAUCCUUUGCUAAAAGAGAACAUCAUGCUCUCAUCUUCAUACCUGCUACCAUGCUUCGCUUUCCUCCGGUGCAGUCUCCCUCUUUUCUCUCAACAUCGCAUGCUUCGCAACGGAGAAACACCAGAUUCCGAGUGCCCUCGCCGUGCAUCAAUGACAGGUGCAAUUUGGUUGAGCGAGGGAACUUUCUGCUCAAUGACACGGGCUUUGGCGAACACCUUGAAGCGUUUCGCGCCUAUGAUUCCGCAGUUGUGAGCCUGGUGACGAGCUAGUCAGGAAGAGCCAAGCUCAGAAUCAUGAGCGCCUCCUCAACUAUUAGAAAGCCUUCUCAGUUAAGAGCAUCAAUUUCACAAAGAUGAUACCCUCAAACUUUCGAUAGAUAAAAUCUGCAAAUAUUCCUUCAAGUCAAAGAAACUGUUAUAUUAAAUUUUCUCAUGGAGAGCUCACCACAUGUUCUUCCAUACUUGCUUCGAAAAGGCGUUUAAUAUGUAAUCUGCAUUAGACUAAAUAAUUUUCUAUGUUGAGCUUCCAAAUCAUCUCCUAAAUUUAAAGCCUAGACAAUCUGUGAGAUACUAAAUGACUGAACUUCUUUGAACCUUGUACUCAUAGUACAGUAAAAAAAAUUGCCCACAUGAUAAAUUCUGACAUUCGCUAGUGUGAAAUGGAAAACAAAAGCUGCUGCUACAUACCUUGACAUACGGCAGCAACAACAUCCAAACACAAAUAGCGGGCACCUUCAGCGAGCAGAGCAUGCAGCGUCUGGUCAGGGGAAGUGAAGAAACUUCACCAUCAUACAACGUUGUUGAUGUACACGAACCAAGCCUCACAGGUUGUUUGCUCUAGGUCCAUCUCUUUUGUAAAUCUGAAAUUGAGUGUAAUUGUUGAUCUUGGUCAAUGAGAGGCAAGAUCCAUGGAGGAAGAUUGGAUAUGUGGGUUAGAACUUGGUCUUGAACAUGGUGUCGGGAUGCUGUGGACGCAGUCAGGGCACAGCUGGUAGAAAGUCAAUGAGGAAUCAUCCGUCGAGUCCUUGUCCUAUAGACCAAUGAUUAUUAGUAAAAAAAUAUUUCAACAACUCAUUUUCUAGUGUUAGAUAUAUACCGUAGUAAGAAAAAAUAUGCAUAGAUGUGGAAGAAUAUCCAAUCUAAAAACUUAGUUAAUUUGUAAACUAUUAGUACUUACAACAUGAUGGGGUUGAAGUUCAUGAAGUUGCUCGGCCUAAACGGCAAGCGGUAUGGACAAACGUGGAUUUCUCGCCUAGGUGUCCUUUUGGAGCUCGGUGGCCGGAGGAUCUCCAUUAAUCAAUUGUCUCUAAGCGCAACCGGGUUCACCUCCCGGUCACGGUCAUAUGAAGAUCAAGAUUGAUCUCAAAACUCCUCAGGCAUCACCAUAAGUCGUAACAGAAAGAACGCCAUCGUACUUGAGGGCGCGGGGUCCUCGGCGUCCUCGGUCUUCUCGGCCAUGGGCGAUGCCGACGGUGGGCUCCUUCCUGCCAUAGCCCUCAGUGCGGCGGAAAUAGGGUGAUUGUGACAACAUUUAAUAGGUAUUUAAAAUAGAGAAGCAUUUGAGUAGAUAAAAAAAGUAACAAUUGCUAUGGUUAAUUGAUUGUUAUACUGGUGAUAUAUACCUGAAGUCCUGAACCAACCCAUGAUAUUGGUUGAUGUCAAAAAAAACAUGAUACGGUUAGUCUGCAUCUUUGACAUCUCCACAAUGAUGGAUUUACCUUUUAUGUGGCCAAAGCACUGUCAGAGUAUGCAUCAUCUUAUAAUUGCACAAAAAGUAUUGCGUAUGUUAGAAGUUUGAAUUAGGAUUCAAUCAAAGAACCUGGUAAUAGCUGAACAUAAAUUAGGAUAAAAUUGCAAUAAUAAUGGCCAUCAAUAGUUGCAACAGGAAGAAGAGGCAGAUCGAUAGCAUGCAGGUUUACCAAUAACAAUGUUCACCAAUAAUUAUUAUCACCAACCAUAGCUGUUUUCUGUUUGUAAUAGGAAUGUUUAGGAAAUUAGAAGCACAAACUCACCUUCUAACGCACAUGAGCACACCUGCACAUAUGGUGCUUCCUUCUGGCCAUUUUUUUUGGGUGGCUUGCUCUCAUCCUCGAGGUACCAAGAAUACGCACGGAGCUUUUUAAAUUCAGUCGCGCUCUUCAUGAACUCUAGAUCCCGAUUUUGUCCAAAAGUGGAUACGGGUGUAAAGGUAGUACCUGGGGUUGGGGCAACAUCAUAUUCCUCCUCUGUCGUCUUCCCUAAACUCCUUUCUCUUGGCAAAAUUUGGACUGUAGCACUGCUUUCAAUUGUCUGAAACCAACAAAAUGUCUGCACAACAUUCCCAUAUGCCUGAAAAUAUUCUGGACGCGCACACUUAACUUCACAUCCAGUUUCACUGAUGCACCUAGACACAACCAAGGACAUUGAUUUGAAGAACUCAUCUUCAAACUUUUUGUAUAUCUCGCUUGUGUAAAUUUCACAAUCUUCAAUCUCGAGAUGCCCCAAUUGUUUUUUCAUUGUUUCUGUUGGCAAAAAUUGAUGAGGUGCUUUGAGAUUCUUGAUGAAAAUCAUAAGAACUGGAUUGAUCUCACUGUGUGAGUUCCACUGCCUCUUCUCUUCACAAAUUGCAGACAGAGGGUGAUUUUGCUCGUUGCUGAAUAUGCUCACAUACCAACCUGCUUUGCAUGGAGGAGACGCAUCCUCGCCUUCGUUCUGUUUUGUACGAAGAAGAAUUAUCAUUGUCCCUCUUAACCUGCACGCCGAAAACCAAACAAGACAAUGACAAUCCUUGCUACAAUAGAAAUGCCAAGCAAUUUCAAAGCAUGGAAAAAAUUCAAGCGCAAGACCAUCAUGGAGUGGCUGGGGAAACGACAAGAAUAUAGUUGUACUACAAUUUCAAGCAAGACGCUAUGUAACUAAUCUAGCAGCAGCACACAAUUUUGUGCAUCAACUGGUAACGUGCAUGCCCUCAUCUCGGCUUUCCAUGAUGAAUUCCAAAACCAUCCUCCUAAGCGAAUAGCUUAUACUGUCCGUACGCUUCUUGGCAUGAAUCAAAUGGCAUGCCUUCUACAGGAGCAAAAGUGUCGGCCGAGUGCUUGCCUUCAGAGUUUAGAAGACAUCUUCCAAUCGAGUUCAUCUUGCUUGGGGUUUCUCUGAUCGCAAGUCCAGUUUGAAUCCAGUUCCUGAACCAAAGAAUCAACCGUCAGACUGAAUUUUAGCAGGGAGGGAAAGGGGAGAGGAGCACUCACGAUUGUCGAAUCAGCAGCAUUGCAAGGCAAGAUAUGCACUCAGUGUUCUGAAAAUCUGCAGAACAGAUCAUGAAACAUAAAUGUACCCUGCAUACAAAAGAAGACCAAGAUCAAUAAAUGUGUAAAAUUGAGAACCACCAAAUCUGAUUCAAUCACAAAAGAACAAGGGAGAGCUUAUGCUAUCCUGCUGCUCGGCCACGGUCAUCGCCGGCGAGCACCCCGUCGAGGACUACCGCAACACAUCCGCAAACCUGGCCCUGUCGCUGUUCUCCAUGUCCGGGCCAGUCGGGGGAAUGGAACAGAGAUGGAGGAGGGAGAAGGGAGAGGAGAGAAGAGGGGGAAAGAGGAAGGGGUGGAUAUACCUGUGAUAACGGGGAGGCGGCAGUGCGGGACGGGAAGAGUCGCCGUCGGCGGGCAGGAUGAAGAGCUGGCGGCUCCUACCCUAGCUUGCGCGUGAGAACUGCAUCCGUCGCACACAACCAGGGCAUCCAUCGUCUGCCGUCGUGCUCCAGCGAGCCGGCGACCGAGGGUUGCCUGGAGCGGAGGUGGAGGCGACCAGAGCCGGCGGCGGCGCGGCGCCGAGGUUGGUGCAACGGCGAGCUCGGGCGGUGAGGCGGCGGGGCAGAAGCUACAGGAGACGGCGGCGGGGACCUCGAGGCCGAGCUCAGGCCAUGGCUUCCCUGGCUCCAGAGGCCGUGGCGGCGCCGGACGCAGCGGCGGGGCGAGGAGGAGGCCGGCCGUCGGGGAGGCAGGAGCUCCUCGUCCCCUCGAUCCAGAUCGGGAUCGAGGAGGGAGCAACAGGGGCGCGAGGGAGCGGGCGACCCGCGGGCGGCGGUCGGGGCGUGCGGGUGGGGGUAAUUUGAUGGAAAAAACCGGAGAAAAAAAACCAAUCGAAAAAAAACCAGAUGAAAGUGGGGGGACUAUUCAACCAACUCGUCCAUUAGGAGUAGAGAUGAGUCCACCAUACCUUCCUAUAUGCGGUAUCUACCUGCCGUUCCAAGUAAAUUUGUAUGUGCCAAACUCUAAACCUUCAAAUAAACAUUCUGUUUUGUAUGCUCGAAUAGCUCAUGUAUCAACUAGGGCUGCCCUUAUCUUCCAUGUUAGGCGGGUUAUUCUCAAGAGGAGUGGACUCCGCUCCUCACUCACGAGAAAAUGGCUGGUCACCGGGAUGCCCAGUCCCAUGCUUUAUGCAAACUAAAUCAAAAUAAUUGCAAACAAAACUCCCCCUGGGACUGUUGCUAGUUGGAGACACUCGUUGUUUCGAGCAAGUCAUGGAUUGAUGCUUGUUGGUGGAGGGGGAGUAUAAACUUUACCAUUCUGUUUGGGAACCGCCUAUAAUGUGUGUAGCAUGGAAGAUAUCGCCAUCUCUUGGUUGUUAUGUUGACAAUGAAAGUAUGCCGCUCAAAAUAUUAUUUAUCUCUAUUUCAAAAUCAAGCUCUGGCACCUCUACAAAUCCCUGCUUCCCUCUGCGAAGGGCCUAUCUAUUUACUUCUAUGUUGAGUCAUCACCCUCUUAUUAAAAAGCACUAGCUGGAGAGCACAACUGUCAUUUGCAUCCAUUACUAUUAAUUUAUAUUGGGUAUGACUGGAUCUCUUUUACCAUGAAUUACAAUGUCUAGUCAGUCCUUGAUCUUUAAAGGUGCUCUGCAUUUAUGUUUUGCGGUCUCAGAAAGGGCUAGCGAGAUACCAUCUUGUUAUAUCAUAUUAUGAUUGUUUUGAGAAAGUGUUGUCAUCCGAGAUUUAUUAUUAUGGCUCGCUAGUUGAUUAUGCCAUUGAUAUGAGUAAACAUGAGACCAGAGAGUUAUUGCAAAUGUGGUUAGUCAUAAUCUUUGCUGAAAACUUGAAUGCUGGCUUUACAUAUUUACAACAACAAGAGCAAACAGAGUUUGUAAAAGUUUUUCUUUAUCACUUUCAGUUUAUCAACUAAAUUGCUUGAGGACAAGCAAAGGUUUAAGCUUGGGGGAGUUGAUACGUCUCAGACGUAUCUACUUUUCCAAACACUUUUGCCCUUGUUUUGGACUCUAACUUGCAUCAUUUGAAUAGAACUAACCCGGACUGACGUUGUUUGCAGACUUUCCAUGGUGUUAUUUAUGUGCAGAAACAAAAGUUCUCGGAAUGACCUGAAACUCCACGGAACGUCUAUUUGGAAAUAAUAAAAAAAUCCUUGUAAAAGAUGAAUACCAGGGGGCCCACACCUUGUCCACGAGGGUGGGGGGGCGCGCCCUCCCCCCUAGGGCGCGCCCCCUACCUCGUGGCCCCCCUGGAGCUCCACCGACCUCAACUCCAACUCUAUAUAUUUGCUUUCGGGGAGAAAAAAAUCAGAGAGAAGAAUUCAUCGCGCUUUACGAUACAGAGCCGCCGCCAAGCCCUAAAACCUCGCGGGAGGGCUGAUCUGGAGUCCGUUCGGGGCUCCGGAGAGGGGGAUUCGUCGCCGUCGUCAUCAUCAACCAACCUCCAUCACCAAUUUCAUGAUGCUCACCGUCGUGCAUGAGUAAUUCCAUCGUAGGCUUGCUGGACGGUGAUGGGUUGGAUGAGAUCUAUCAUGUAAUCGAGUUAGUUUUGUUAGGGCUUGAUCCCUAGUAUCCACUAUGUUCGGAGAUUGAUGUUGCUAUGACUUUGCUAUGCUUAAUGCUUGUCACUAGGGCCCGAGUGCCAUGAUUUCAGAUCUGAACCUAUUAUGUUUUCAUGAAUAUAUGUGUGUUCUUGAUCCUAUCUUGCAAGUCUAUAGUCACCUACUAUGUGUUAUGAUCCGGCAACCCCGAAGUGACAAUAAUCGGGACCACUCCCGGUGAUGACCAUAGUUUGAGGAGUUCAUGUAUUCACUAUGUGCUAAUGCUUUGUUCCGGUACUCUAUUAAAAGGAGGCCUUAAUAUCCCUUACUUUCCAUUAGGACCCCGCUGCCAUGGGAGGGUAGGACAAAAGAUGUCAUGCAAGGUCUUUUCCAUAAGCACGUAUGAUUAUAUUCGGAAUACAUGCCUACAUUACAUUGAUGAAUUGGAGCUAGUUCUGUGUCUCCCUAUGUUAUGAUUGUUAUAUGAUGAACCGCAUCCGGCAUAAUUCUCCAUCACCGAUCCAAUGCCUACGAGCUUUUCCUAUAUUGUUCUACGCUUAUUUACUAUUCCGUUGCUACUGUUACAAUCACUACAAAAUACCAAAAAUAUUACUUUUACUACUGUUACCUUUUGUUACUGUUACCACUACUAUCAUAUUACUUUGCUACUAAAUACUUUGCUGCAGGUACUAAGUUAUCCAGGUGUGGUUGAAUUGACAACUCAACUGCUAAUAGUUGAGAAUAAUCUUUGGCUCCCCUUGUGUCGAAUCAAUAAAUUUAGGUUGAAUACUCUACCCUCGAAAACUGUUGCGAUCCCCUAUGCUUGUGGGUUAUCAGCCGCUGGCUUUGUUGCAGGCGUGAAACAUGUCUUUUUGAAGGCUGGCUCCCGUGUCGGCGGCUGGCUUUGUUGCCGGCAGACUAUAGGCUGCCGGCUGUGUUGCUGGCCGGCGUGAACUAGUGUGAAACGCGGCCGCGGCUUAAAUCCUUGGUUUCUCACUUUUGCAUGCACGGGGACAAGAUGCGGCCGUGUGUUGGACGCUCGGCCGACGCAUCCACAAAUUCGGACGGACACGACCCCAUCCCCACCUCUAAACGGACGAAAUCCGGACAAAACAGACGUCUGUUUGAGGUCGCGUGUUGGAGUUGGCCUAACAUUUGAGAGAAAGACAAAAUGCUUCAAGCGUAACCCAGCAAAGCAAAAAAGGUUGGUUCGGCUAGGUUUUCUCAAAUGUUAGCCGACAUUUGAGAAAACCUAGCCGAACCAACCUUUUUUGCUUUGCUGAACAUUUGAGAAAACCUAUUCCACAUUUUUUUUGAGAAAACCUGGGCGUUUAUUUGAAGUUACCAUCCAUCGCCAUCAAAGCAAAGAUGCGUAUAUGCCCCACAGUUUUUUUUACUAGAGAGAGGCCAAGAAACUGAGGUCGUUUGGAACAUUGCAUAUGUCGUUGUCCUUGUUGUCGUGUGCUUGCGGAGGGACGGCUGGGGAUGUCACGCUCUCCAUCCAACUUGUUUAUUUGCGAUUUCAAAAAAGCAGUUAAUGUCGGUUUUAAGCGCGAUUUAACAAAUCCAACAUGGCAGCCAAUCCUCCCCCUCACCUAGGCCCUAGCUAACCGUAAGUUGACCUACUUGGCUGCUUUGGAUGCAGUCGUGCAUGAUGAUGGUGUGUUGCUGGUUGUCAUGGCUCUUGUGUGGUGCUAGCAUCACACCAUAGAGGUAUGGUAAUAAUCUGUUUUUAUUUGUCUUAGUCUCGAUCAAAUGGCACCGAGUUAGGGUUUUUUUUCUUCUUCGGGUAGAAAAUUAAUUACGUUUGGCCUGCUCGUUUCGGUUUUCCCACCAUGUUACAUAAAUCCAACACGACUGAGAUUUGGAGCGUUGUGUUUGGACGACACAAAGUCGAACUCCGACUCCCACGAUCCCAUCAAGAUCACGGAAGAGCCUUGACAUGACCCAGUCACCUCAAUCACUGUUCAGGUUUCCACAUCGAGAUCGCUGUUCGGGUCUCAACAUUUUCAGCGCCGCUAAUCACCGCAGCGCACGGUGACAUUUGACACGAACGCCUCAACCCUAAGAAUCGGACCAGAGAGUAGUAGUACAACUGUAGAAGAGAACAGAGUCGGACCUAGGUGCCAUCUGAGCCACACUGGCCAGUGGCCACCAGGAAACGCCUCCCUCGAGAACCUAGGACCGGGGCGUGGAGGAGAACAAAGUCUGCCUGACCCGCACGCGCACUAGCCCCUGCCUACCCACAUCCAUCCAUCUACAUGCGAUCUGAACCUCAACACGAAGCAAAACCGUCCAUUACGAAAGGCACUUUAGAUCAGUGUAAACACAUCUAGCUAGCAAGGUCGGCAAGGGAAAACGAAUCGGUGGAUCAAGCUGGCUGGCGCCGUCGACAGAUCACUCCCCGGCCUCUUUUUCCUGCGGGUCAAAAUCAAACCCGUCCUCCUUUUCUCGGCGAGGCCAGCGACGGAUCGACGACGCCGACCGACCGACCGACGAGCCGCCCGCCCUUUCGGCCAGGAUGAGUAGCGACAGACAGAGGGGGAGGCCCGCGACAGGGACCAAGAACAAGAAUACGGGCAUUCAAAUGCAAAUACCCAAGCCUCUAUUCCAGGCAAGGUUUUUGCCCCAACAUUCACCCACUUGUGUGAAAGUGACCCAUGGUGAAUUGUGUACAUGACACGUGCUAUUAUUUUGGUAAAUGGCUGUGUAUAAAUGCGCUGUGUAUUCAGCUUUUCGUUUGAAAUUUUGUCAACGUGUGUGCUGAAUUCUUGGGUGCGGUUAGCGAUUUUGCCGCUCUAUGGUGAAAAACGGAGCCGCUUCCAUCACCUGAUCUGAAGGGUUCUUGCGUUUUUUGAUCGGUGCCGCUUUCAUGUUUCGAUCUAGAGUCUGCUUUUUGUUUCUGGUUUGCGCCGCUGUAAUCGUUUGAUCUCGAAACCUCGCCACAUACCACCAUCGCUUACGUCCUGGGGGUUAUAAAUAGAUCGCCCUUCUUCUCAUAUCAUUGUGCUAGGUUUUCUUUGGGUUAGCAUAUACUGUUUCUAUGGUAUAUCCUUCUUCCUGUCGUAAUGGACCGCGACGUCCUGCUCGGCCUCCUCCGUCGCGGGGAGCUCUGGUUCGCCGGUGUGGUGGUUCGGGUUGUCUUGCUGCGUCGGCCGUUGUCUCGGCUCGGCCCGUAUGUAUGGAGCAUGCUUCGUCCUCUGAUGAUCGGCCGUUGCCGCCGCCGCGCCCUGGCUGUCGGCAACUCGCUGCUGCUGCCCCGGGCCUCCUAAUCUCCCUUGACCUUCUUUGCGGUGCUGGCGGGCCUGGUGAGGAUCAGCCACAGCUUCGGCUCCGGCAUCGCCCUGAGUCCGUCCAACCGGCCGUCUGCGACCGACGGUGACUACGUUGAAGAUGUUGUCGAUUGGUUACGGGAUGCGCGGAAACCGGGUGUCCCGGUGGCCGGCGCUUGCGUAUCCCCUUGGAGGGGCCAUGGUCUCCGCUCGGACAUAGUAGGACGCCCUGUUCGGGGAGCAUAGAUCCUGCGGCAACAACCUCUACGACAAUGAUGACGACAUCACCACCGCCGGAUAACGAUCACUUGCCAGUGCGAGCGGUGUGACAGUGGCGAGGGCGGAUGCUCCUGGUGCAGCAGACAGCAGGUUGCUCUGUGGCACCGACAAGGGGUUAGGUUGCAGCGUCGGGGCAUAGGGGAGGCGGUGCAGUAGACAGUAGGAUGGUCACGAAGGCGGCCACACUGCGCAGGAGCGACUGGAGCCGGAGUGGUCCGUUGUUAGCCAGGAUCGGCUGUUGCUGAUGAUGCUGCGGGCAUGUGGAUGAGUACGUGGAUCUCAACGUGAAACGUCCACCAGCAAGGCACGGCCUGGCGUUGCGCACUGCACUGCUAUGUGAUGUUGUUGAAUAUGAAGUGCACUCAAACCGGGAUGCAUGCCAUCCGCGUUGUAUCCCCUUGUAUGGUCCGACGAGGUUUCGCGUACGUCCAGGUUCGUGUGAUCAUCUCUCUCUCUCUCAUAUUUUUUGUGCAGCUCAACAGCGAGGGAGAUUUGCAAGUGGUCAAAAUUCUGGUGCUAUCAUUGCUAUGUAAUAAGACAAGGUUUCUCCUGAUCCUCUUUCUUCUUGAUAAUCCAUAUAGGGAUUGCUUCUGUCGAUUAUUUUGAAGCCUUUUCUUGUAGACUAAAGGUUCAUAGAUGGCCACUAACUGAUUGGUGUUAUUUAGCUUCAGGUUCAUUUUUGUGCUCUUAAGGUAUAGUAUCCCUUCCAUCAUUGCUGCAAACAUUUACUAUCUGUCCUUGGUGCAGGAAUUUGCAACCGUUAAUCCAUGGCGGUUCCGGUGUGGGAUAUAUUCUUCAUGGUUCCGUGUCCUUUGCUGCAUCUGCUGUUAAUUUGAUGAUAUGGUUUUUGGGAUGACCAUGAUUUACUCCCUUCUAAUAUUUGUUCUAUGCAAGCAUCAAGACUAAAUAAUAUGGGUUUACCCCCUUAUCAUAUUUGUUGUAUGUAGGCAUCAAUACUAGAGAUAUGGUUUUAACCCCUUCUCAUAUUAAUUUUUUUGAACGAUCCCUUCUCAUAUUUAUUGUAUGGAUGCAUCAAGCUAUGAUGAAUUUGGAUGACAUACUAUUAACUUACAUAAUAAGACCCUUGCGAGGUGAAAAGCCGGAAGCAAUUGCAAGGCAUUAACAAUCUGUUUUUCUUACUGAAGCUGAACAACUGCCCCAUAUACAAGCUCUAUCAUGUUAACUACUGAUGUGAACUUCCUCAGCUAUCAUUUCAUUACGAACACAAAACCAAUGGGCGGUCAAACAAGGAUGCCUUGAAUUACCAAGGAAUCAGAAAUUUAUCAUGCAAUAUCAAUAUGUAUUCUCUUUAUGUACAAUUAAUGUAUUGACUCUUUUAUUCAAUAAAAUUUUUCUUUAUGAAAGAUUAUAGCAUUUGUACCAAUAUAAUUUUUUUACAUACACCAUAAUAUAAAAUUUGAAGUGAACACGUAAAAAGUGAAUAAAAUAAUUAAAUAAUUGGUAUAUGAAGUUUAAUAUUAUUGUACAUAGAAUUUCUCACAUAAAGUAUCAAUAGGCGCGGCGUGCCACCGCACGGGCAUGAAAAUUCAACAUGUCUCGCCAGCAAGUAAGUGCCCAACAGAAUGAAUUUGCAAGACAAACAAUGAUCUUGGCGAUAAUAUGCAAUGAUUUCUCCGAUGUGGCACUUCUUCGCAUGUACCCCAACGUCCUCAGAGAGAUGAUCCCAUCAUUACAUACAAAAGGAGUUAAGACACCCGUUGGACAGGUAGAGGAAUUUGCAAAAGCUCUUGACUACUUCAUUACAAACUAUCUUACAGGGGGCUACACUAGGAUGAUUUAACUCAACUAGGCCAUCCGCAAUCAUUUACUUUCAUGCAGUUGCAUCAUUGUAUAUGGUAUGUUUCAUAGAACGGUCUCUAUAAUGUGCUAAUAAGUAGACCUUAUUAGUAGCGUGUACACUUUUUCGUUCAUCAGUAUUUAUCAUACAUGGCUGCAAUAAAUGUACUCAUUUUUCACCUUUUAGAACUCUUUUUGGGUUUUAGUUAUGCGAUUCUGUCAUUAAAAAUAUAAGAAUGGCCUUUACGAUCCGUAUAAAUAUAAUGCAUCACCAGGCGCGGUGUGCCGCUGCUAUGCUAGUUGAUACGAGACGCGACGCGACGCACCGAUGGGCAGGUUAGGUGGGCGUUAUGUGCGUGUAUGGAUGGAUGGAUGGGCGGGCGGUUCUCUGCCCUCCAACGUAUGCUACCUCUGCAUGCGGUCGCGGUCACGGCCAGAUCGUCCAAUUCAUCAUGGCCGAGUUGAUCGACGCUCAACCGUUCUGUCAUCUUGUUAUGGUCUGGUAGAUCAGCGGAGAACGAAGUAUUUGAUUUCUCUGAUGGGGAACGGAGAUGGCUUGCUUUUGCUUUGUGUCGUUGUCGCAGUCCUUGGCGUUGAUCUCAGAUCAGAUCGAGCAGUGAGUGGAACCAAUGGAGCAUGGAGGCCGUGGAAAAUGGAUAGGGGAAAUCCAUGGAAUUGUCCUCAUCUCACCCAGGAAAAGGAAUAGUAGUGACCUAGCAGCUAGCUUUUCAGUGAGACCGGCAGCUAGCUUUUCAGUGCGCGCGCCAGUUUUACUUUACCUGCACUGCACGCGGAGGAUCGAAGAAUACUGUGGCAGCACGUUUGAGGCUCAGACGUGGGACCGGCCGGUCAGUGCAGACGAUACCUUUUUUUUCUUGAGAAAAAGGUGCAGAGGAAGGCCCAACAUCUUGGGGAUAAUGAAUGACUGAUUGGCCCAACGCUGCAAAGCAAAAAGGAAAAGUAGCCCAAUUGGUGAAGUAAGCAGGCUGCUGCCGCUGGCGAGAACUCUUGGGCCACUUCAGGAAUGCUCCAGCUCUUGGGGGCUCCGCCAUCCACGCGGGUGCGUCUAUAGCUCGCCCGCAGCGACCGUGAGCGUCAUCUCACCUCUACGCGACGCGCUACUAAGCCGGCAUGUUAGUUGCUAUGAACGUUAGUUUAUUCGGAAUCACUAGUUAAGAAGUAUUUUUUGGAAAGGUCACUUCCAUAUUCCCAGGCUGGGAUGCCAUUGGUCUCAAUCUGGAGUUUUUUUUCUUCAUAAAUUCGUUUAUUCGAAAUGUUUUAUCUCUUAAACCGUGCGUCUAAAUCUCAAAUCGUUUUCAUCAUUGAAUUCCUCGUGUUGAGAUCUUUAAAACUAGAUCCAAUGUUGAUAGGUUUUGAUGAAUUUUAUUUUUUUAAAAGGACAAAAAUAUCGAACCGAAGCACUUUUUUUUCAUUUCCGAGGUGCCUCCCGUGGAAGCAAAUCCGGCUCUCACGGAAGGGAAAAUGCGUUUUUUUUCGUUUCUGAGAGGCACAUCUCGCAGAAGAAAAUCCGUGCCACUUGCGGAAGAAAAAAAAACCGUUGUUUUUCCAUUCUCGAGAGGCACGGCUGGAAACAAAUCCGUGCCUCUCACGAAAGGUAAAAAAGAGAAAAACAUGUUUUUUUUUGUUUCUGAGAGGCAUGACUAUGCCUUUCGCGGAACGAUUUUUUUUUAAGUUUCCGAGAGGCACAACUCUGUCCCUCGCUGAAGCAAAUCCGUGUAUCUCACGAAAAAAAACGAAAACGCGUUUUUUCCAUUUCCUAGAGUAAUAACUGUGCCACUCGCGGAAGCAAAUCCAUGUCUUUCGCGGAAGGGAACAAAAGGAAAACGGGUUUUUUUUUCAUUCCAAAAGGCACGACUGUGCCUCUCGAGAAAGAAAAAAAAAUUAAAACAUUUUUUUUCCGUUUCUGAGAGGCAUGACUCAUGGAAGCAAAUCAAUGCCUCUCGCGAAAAGGGGAAAAUGUGUUUUUUUUUCAUUUCCGAGAUGCACGUCUCGCAGAAGCAAAUCCGUGCCUCUUGCGUCAGUUUUCGAGAGGCACGACUCCGGCUCUCGUGGAAGCAAAUCCGUGCAUCUAGCGGAAAAAGAAAGAAAAUGCGUUUUUUCCCGUUUCCUAGAGAUACGAUUGUGUCUCUCGCGAAAGGAAAAAAAACAUUUUUUUCGUUUUCGAAAGACACGACUGUGCCUCUCGUGAAAAAAAAGUUUAAAACACAUUUUUUUUCUGUUUCCGAGAGGCAUAACUAUGUCUGUCGCGGAAGCAAAUCCAUGCUUCUCACGGAAGGGGGAAAAACGUGAUUUUUCCAUUUUCAAGAGGCAAAUCCGUGUCUCUUGCGGAAGCAAAUCCGUGCAUCUCGUGAAAUAAAAAAAAUAAUUUUUCGCGCUACAUUUUUUAUUCGAAUAUUUUCUCCAAAACCUAAGAAAGACAGGGGAAAAACCAAAUAGCUGUGCCUCUCGAGAAAGAAAAAAAAUUAAAACAUUUUUUUUCCGUUUCUGAGAGGCAUGACUCAUGGAAGCAAAUCAAUGCCUCUCGCGAAAAGGGGAAAAUGUGUUUUUUUUUUCAUUUCCAAGAUGCACGUCUCGCAGAAGCAAAUCCGUGCCUCUUGCGUCAGUUUUCGAGAGGCACGACUCCGGCUCUCGUGGAAGCAAAUCCGUGCAUCUAGCGGAAAAAGAAAGAAAAUGCGUUUUUUCCCGUUUCCUAGAGAUACGAUUGUGUCUCUCGCGAAAGGAAAAAAACAUUUUUUUCGUUUUCGAAAGACACGACUGUGCCUCUCGUGAAAAAAAAGUUUAAAACACAUUUUUUUUCUGUUUCCGAGAGGCAUAACUAUGUCUGUCGCGGAAGCAAAUCCAUGCUUCUCACGGAAGGGGAAAAACGUGAUUUUUCCGUUUUCAAGAGGCAAACCCGUGCAUCUCGUGAAAUAAAAAAAAUGAUUUUUCGCGCUACAUUUUUUAUUCGAAUAUUUUCUCCAAAACCUAAGAAAGACCGGGGAAAAACCAAAUAGCCNNNNNNNNNNNNNNNNNNNNNNNNNNNNNNNNNNNNNNNNNNNNNNNNNNNNNNNNNNNNNNNNNNNNNNNNNNNNNNNNNNNNNNNNNNNNNNNNNNNNNNNNNNNNNNNNNNNNNNNNNNNNNNNNNNNNNNNNNNNNNNNNNNNNNNNNNNNNNNNNNNNNNNNNNNNNNNNNNNNNNNNNNNNNNNNNNNNNNNNNNNNNNNNNNNNNNNNNNNNNNNNNNNNNNNNNNNNNNNNNNNNNNNNNNNNNNNNNNNNNNNNNNNNNNNNNNNNNNNNNNNNNNNNNNNNNNNNNNNNNNNNNNNNNNNNNNNNNNNNNNNNNNNNNNNNNNNNNNNNNNNNNNNNNNNNNNNNNNNNNNNNNNNNNNNNNNNNNNNNNNNNNNNNNNNNNNNNNNNNNNNNNNNNNNNNNNNNNNNNNNNNNNNNNNNAGCACCUAGAGCGCGAGACGUGACAGCGACUAAGACCACCCAAGUUGCGCGCUCUCAGCCCACCCAGGUGACCCUUGCGGGGGCUCCCAAAGGAAUACUCUUCCGUUAGCUUCUUCGCUCUUUUUGUUUCUUUCAUUUUAAUCUUUUUUUCUAUGCCUAAAAAAUCUUUUUUUCUACUUUGUUUGUAUUGUUUAAAAAUAGAUAUUUAGAAAUUGCUUUACUUUGAUUUUUUAAAACGUUCAUCCUACACUUAAAAUAUGUUCAUGUAGCAUAAAAAUAUUGUCCGCAUAACUAUUAAAAAAUGAUGAUAACUUUCGAAGAAAAUGUUGUGACAUCUGCAAAAUGUUCAAGGUGAAAAAAAUGUUGAUGACUGUAUUAAAAAAAUGUUUACACAAUGUACAAGGAAUGUUUGCACAUUUUUAAAAAAUGUUACCAUUCGGAAAAAGUCUUUGCGGCAUUUAAAAAACCUUCAUGUGUGUCAAAAAACUGUUAGUGGUUUAAAAAAAAAAUUACACUAUGUAGAAAAUAUGGUCGCAUAACAUAUAAAAAUGUUUCUUCCAUUAAAAAAAUCACGCAUUUUGAAAAAUGUUUAACAUGUGCAAACACUGUUUUACAUUAUAUAAAAAAAAUCCAUGAACAUUUGUAUUGGAACGUCUGAACAUUUCGUGGAUUUGUUUAUGCUUAUUAAAAUGUUAACAAAUGUUGGCAUCAUUUGGAAAAAUACAUUUUGUACCAUUAAAAAAAUGUUUGCAGCAUUUAGAAAAUCACACAUUUUGAAAUAUGUUCCUGAAAUAUUAAAAAAAUAACACGAUAUUAAAUAUGGUAAGCAUAAUAUAAAAAAAGAUCAUACCAUUCAAGAAAAUGUUCAACAUGAUUUCAAUUUUAUUUAACGUUUAUUUGAAGAACAUGUUGCAAACAUGUACUUGAAAAAAGUUAACCAUGUAUUUGAAAAAUGUUUGCCGCGUAUAUAUAAAAUGGUACUCUUGUACAUGAAAAUGUGCAACAUAUAUUGAAAAAAAUCAACAAAAAUAAAGAAAAAUAAAGGCCGGAAUACUGAAAAAACCUGUAGAGAAACACAGAAAACCAACACAAAAAAGGAAAGCCAAAGAAAAAUAAAAUGGAAAAAAGAAAAACUGAAAUAGGGUUAAGAAACACAGAGCACCGAAAAUCAGAAAAAAACCAAUGAAAACCACCAGUGAAAACACUAAGAGAAAAGCCAUGCGAAAACAUAUCAUAGAGGCUUCCUUGAAAACCGCUCCGCCAAGACCUGCAUUGGGCCGACCCAUCUGGCUCUCGUAUUAGGCGAGAUAUAGCUCCCGCGCAACUCCAUGACCAAACCGCCCUAACUCUAGAAUCCGGUAAUAAGAAGCUGGAGGUGAUGUGCAUUACUAAAGCAAAG